AUGCAAUCACUAGUGAACAGAUUGACAAGACUAGCUAACAUGUUUGAUUUCGUCAGUUCAGGAUACGGCUACAGACUGAGAAGUACCAGGUUGGCUUCCAAAAAGGUAACGGUUAGAGGCGCUGCUUUCGGCGAAAUCAUGGAAAGCUAUACUGUUAUAAAAUGCGAGAAAACUUUUAAUCUGGAAGCUGUGUUUUCUACAAUUUUAUUCGACUCUCAGGCUGGCCGAGAAACAUCAACGGUGAGCGCGAUUUGGCAAAAUGCCCAGACUUCCAGAUUUAUGAUUUGCUAG